rnacentral:rRNA from 1 species
ACAGUGGACGCGAGCAUCUGUGGCCAAGUUUUUAAGGGCGCACGGUGGAUGCCUUGGCACCAGGAACCGAUGAAGGACGUGGGAGGCCACGAUAGUCCCCGGGGAGCCGUCAACCAGGCUUUGAUCCGGGGGUUUCCGAAUGGGGAAACCCGGCAGUCGUCAUGGGCUGUCACCCGCUGCUGAACACAUAGGCAGUGUGGAGGGAACGAGGGGAAGUGAAACAUCUCAGUACCCUCAGGAAGAGAAAACAACCGUGAUUCCGGGAGUAGUGGCGAGCGAAACCGGAUGAGGCCAAACCGUAUACGUGUGAGACCCGGCAGGGGUUGCGUGUGCGGGGUUGUGGGAUCUCUCUUCUGUCGUCUGCCGGCGACAGGACGAGUCAGAAACCGUUGAUGUAGGCGAAGGACAUGCGAAAGGUCCGGCGUAGAGGGUAAGACCCCCGUAGUCGAAACAUCAGCGGCUCGUUUGAGAGACACCCAAGUAGCACGGGGCCCGAGAAAUCCCGUGUGAAUCUGGCGGGACCACCCGCUAAGCCUAAAUAUUCCCUGGUGACCGAUAGCGGAUAGUACCGUGAGGGAAUGGUGAAAAGUACCGCGGGAGCGGAGUGAAAUAGUACCUGAAACCGUGUGCCUACAAGCCGUGGGAGCGUCGGAUAUGUGCUUGCACAUAUCUCGUGACUGCGUGCCUUUUGAAGAAUGAGCCUGCGAGUUUGCGGUGUGUUGCGAGGUUAACCCGUGUGGGGAAGCCGUAGCGAAAGCGAGUCCGAAUAGGGCGAUUCAGUAGCGCGCUCAAGACCCGAAGCGGAGUGAUCUAGCCAUGGGCAGGUUGAAGCGGAGGUAAGACUUCGUGGAGGACCGAACCCACCAGGGUUGAAAACCUGGGGGAUGACCUGUGGUUAGGGGUGAAAGGCCAAUCAAACUCCGUGAUAGCUGGUUCUCCCCGAAAUGCAUUUAGGUGCAGCGUCGUGUGUUUCUUGCCGGAGGUAGAGCACUGGAUAGGCGAUGGGCCCUACCGGGUUACUGACCUUAGCCAAACUCCGAAUGCCGGUAAGUGAGAGCACGGCAGUGAGACUGUGGGGGAUAAGCUCCAUGGUCGAGAGGGAAACAGCCCAGAGCAUCGACUAAGGCCCCUAAGCGUACGCUAAGUGGGAAAGGAUGUGGAGUCGCAGAGACAACCAGGAGGUUGGCUUAGAAGCAGCCACCCUUGAAAGAGUGCGUAAUAGCUCACUGGUCUAGUGAUUCCGCGCCGACAAUGUAGCGGGGCUCAAGCGUACCGCCGAAGUCGUGUCAUUCAUACAAUAGGGCCAACGCCUGUAUGGAUGGGUAGGGGAGCGUCGUGUGCCGGGUGAAGCAGCCGCGGAAGCGAGUUGUGGACGGUUCACGAGUGAGAAUGCAGGCAUGAGUAGCGAUACAAACGUGAGAAACGUUUGCGCCGAUUGACUAAGGGUUCCUGGGUCAAGCUGAUCUGCCCAGGGUAAGUCGGGACCUAAGGCGAGGCCGACAGGCGUAGUCGAUGGAUAACCGGUUGAUAUUCCGGUACCCGCUGUGAAGCGUCAAACAUCGAGCAUCGUGAUGCUAAGGCCGUGAAGCCGUUCCGGACCCUUCGGGGAAUGGAAAGUGGUGGAGCCGCCAGCCCAAGCGGUUAGUAGGUGAGUGAUGGGGUGACGCAGGAAGGUAGUCCAGCCCAGGCGGUGGUUGUCCUGGGGUAAGGGUGUAGGACGCAAGGUAGGCAAAUCCGCCUUGCACAUAGUCUGAGACCUGAUGCCGAGCCGAUUGUGGUGAAGUGGAUGAUCCUAUGCUGUCGAGAAAAGCCUCUAGCGAGUUUCAUGGCGGCCCGUACCCUAAACCGACUCAGGUGGUCAGGUAGAGAAUACCGAGGCGUUCGGGUGAACUAUGGUUAAGGAACUCGGCAAAAUGCCCCCGUAACUUCGGGAGAAGGGGGGCCAUCACUGGUGAUCGGAUUUGCUCCGUGAGCUGGGGGUGGCCGCAGAGACCAGCGAGAAGCGACUGUUUACUAAAAACACAGGUCCGUGCGAAGCCGUAAGGCGAUGUAUACGGACUGACGCCUGCCCGGUGCUGGAACGUUAAGGGGACCGGUUAGUCACUCUUCGGGGUGGCGAAGCUGAGAACUUAAGCGCCAGUAAACGGCGGUGGUAACUAUAACCAUCCUAAGGUAGCGAAAUUCCUUGUCGGGUAAGUUCCGACCUGCACGAAUGGCGUAACGACUUCUCGACUGUCUCAACCAUAGGCCCGGUGAAAUUGCACUACGAGUAAAGAUGCUCGUUUCGCGCAGCAGGACGGAAAGACCCCGGGACCUUUACUACAGUUUGAUAUUGGUGUUCGGUUCGGCUUGUGUAGGAUAGCUGGGAGACUUUGAAGCAUGCACGCCAGUGUGUGUGGAGUCGUCGUUGAAAUACCAGUCUGGUCGUGCUGGAUGUCUAACCUGGGUCCGUGAUCCGGAUCAGGGACAGUGUCUGAUGGGUAGUUUAACUGGGGCGGUUGCCUCCUAAAGAGUAACGGAGGCGCCCAAAGGUUCCCUCAGCCUGGUUGGCAAUCAGGUGUUGAGUGUAAGUGCACAAGGGAGCUUGACUGUGAGACCGACGGGUCGAGCAGGGACGAAAGUCGGGACUAGUGAUCCGGCGGUGGCUUGUGGAAGCGCCGUCGCUCAACGGAUAAAAGGUACCCCGGGGAUAACAGGCUGAUCUUCCCCAAGAGUCCAUAUCGACGGGAUGGUUUGGCACCUCGAUGUCGGCUCGUCGCAUCCUGGGGCUGGAGUCGGUCCCAAGGGUUGGGCUGUUCGCCCAUUAAAGCGGUACGCGAGCUGGGUUUAGAACGUCGUGAGACAGUUCGGUCCCUAUCCGCUGUGCGCGUAGGAAUAUUGAGAAGGGCUGUCCCUAGUACGAGAGGACCGGGACGGACGAACCUCUGGUGUGCCAGUUGUCCUGCCAAGGGCAUGGCUGGUUGGCUACGUUCGGGAGGGAUAACCGCUGAAAGCAUCUAAGCGGGAAGCCUGCUUCGAGAUGAGUAUUCCCGCCUCCUUGAGAGGGUAAGGCUCCCAGUAGACGACUGGGUUGAUAGGCCAGAUAUGGAAGCCUGGUAACGGGUGGAGUUGACUGGUACUAAUAGGCCGAGGGCUUGUCCUCAGUUG